rnacentral:misc_RNA from 1 species
GAUGAAGAACGCAGCGAAAUGCGAUACGUAGUGUGAAUUGCAGAAUUCAGUGAAUCAUCGAAUCUUUGAACGCACAUUGCACCUCUCGGUAUUCCGGGAGGUAUGCCUGUUCGAGCGUCAUUUGUACCCUCAAGCUCUGCUUGGUGUUGGGUGUUUGUUCCGCCUCUGUGUGUGAACUCGCCUCAAAACAAUUGGCAGCCGGCCUACUGGUUUCGGAGCGCAGCACAAGUCGCACUCUCUAUCAGCAAAGGUCUAGCAUCCAUUAAGCCUUUUUUUCAACUUUUGACCUCGGAUCAGGUAGGGAUACCCGCUGAACUUAAGCAUAUCAAUAAGCGGAGGA